AACUUCAAUUGUGAAAUUGAAUUGUUUUUAAAUUUUUGUCAAUUUUGUUUGAUUAAUUUCAAAAUAAUCUUCAAAACUUUCAACAACGGAUCUCUUGGUUCUCGCAUCGAUGAAGAACGCAGCGAAAUGCGAUAAGUAAUAUGAAUUGCAGAUUUUCGUGAAUCAUCGAAUCUUUGAACGCACAUUGCGGCCUCUGGUAUUCCAGAGGCCAUGCCUGUUUGAGCGUCAU
rnacentral:rRNA from 1 species